rfam:Candidatus Levybacteria bacterium RIFCSPHIGHO2_02_FTLL_40_18 rifcsphigho2_02_scaffold_49, whole genome shotgun sequence.
UGCCUAAACUCACAGUAAUGUGGGCAUGGCACAAAAACCUUCGCAGAAUUAAGCUCGUCGUCAGAGCAUCUGCGAAGGUUGUCGCCCGAAAGGACGGCAGGUGGGGCAACCCAUC